rnacentral:tRNA from 1 species
GGGGCUGUAGCUCAGUUGGCGAGAGCGCUACGUUCGCAUCGUAGAGGCCGUGGGUUCGACUCCCAUCAGCUCCA